rnacentral:rRNA from 1 species
AGCGAACGCUGGCGGCAGGCUUAACACAUGCAAGUCGAGCGGGCACUUUCGGGUGUCAGCGGCGGACGGGUGAGUAACGCGUGGGAACGUGCCCUCUGGUUCGGAAUAACUCAGGGAAACUUGAGCUAAUACCGGAUACGCCCUUUUGGGGAAAGGCUUGCUGCCGGAGGAUCGGCCCGCGUCUGAUUAGCUAGUUGGUGAGGUAACGGCUCACCAAGGCGACGAUCAGUAGCUGGUCUGAGAGGAUGAUCAGCCACACUGGGACUGAGUCACGGCCCAGACUCCUACGGGAGGCAGCAGUGGGGAAUAUUGGACAAUGGGCGCAAGCCUGAUCCAGCCAUGCCGCGUGAGUGAUGAAGGCCUUAGGGUUGUAAAGCUCUUUUAUCCGGGACGAUAAUGACGGUACCGGAGGAAUAAGCCCCGGCUAACUUCGUG